CACCUGGGACCUCUGACACCCUCCAAAUACCAACUGAUAUUUACUCUCUGCCUCACAGGCCUUGAGAGAUGAACUCAUUUUCCUUGGAGGAAAACUGAAAUCUGACCAUUUCCUCUGCACAGCCUGACUUAAAUUUAACAGUAAAAAGCUUCAUAUUCAUAUGACUCCUCAGAGAAGGGUGGAGUAAGAUAAUGUCAAAGUGUUUGAAAAACAAUACAUACUUGGACUUGAAAGCAAGCUGAUGGAAAGACAGAACAUUCAUUUCUUGCAGGUUUUCCAGGAACAGUAGAGGCAUGGACCACUUACCAGAGAGGUCCCAGUUUUAAUUUGGAAUCCAUCCUGCUGCAGCGGGGGAUGAGGUGCACAUGUGGCAUGCACGCUCGCAGAGCACGCACGCACACGCAUCUGUGCCGCUGUGUGCCUUGGCAUGCAGAUAAUAAAUUAGCAGAUAUGUUUCAGGAAUGAUUAAAUUCACCUCAAAGGAAUGGGAUUUAACUGAAAGGAGGCCAACUGGUAUUUUUUAACCAAGCCCAAGAAUCCAAGCUUCAUAAAUAACCACUGGUGAGCCCAUCACCAUGUGCAGUCAGAA